GACGAACGCUGGCGGCGUGCUUAACACAUGCAAGUCGAACGGAAAGGCCCUGCUUGCAGGGUACUCGAGUGGCGAACGGGUGAGUAACACGCGGGUGAUCUGCCCUGCACUUCGGGAUAAGCCUGUGAAACUGGGUCUAAUACCGGACAUGACCUUCCAUGAAGCGUGGGGGGUGGAAAGAUUUAUCGGUUUGGGCUGAGCCCGUAGCCUAUCAGCUUGUUGGUGGGGUAAUGGCCUACCAAGGCGUCGACGGGUAGCCGGCCUGAGAGGGUGGACGGCCACCUUGGUACUGAGAUACGGCGCAGACUCCUACGGGAGGCAGCAGUGGGGAGUAUUGCACAAUGGGGGGAAGCCUGAUGCGGCGAAGCCGGGUGGGGAAAAACGGGCUUCGGGUUAUAAACAACUUUGGACGGAGACGUGGCUUCGGUGACGGUACCUGAAUAGAAAGCACCGGCUAACUACGUG
rnacentral:rRNA from 1 species